UGCAAAGCGAAUGGAUUAAGAGCUUGCUCUUAUGAAGUUAGCGGCGGACGGGUGAGUAACACGUGGGUAACCUGCCCAUAAGACUGGGAUAACUCCGGGAAACCGGGGCUAAUACCGGAUAACAUUUUGAACUGCAUGGUUCGAAAUUGAAAGGCGGCUUCGGCUGUCACUUAUGGAUGGACCCGCGUCGCAUUAGCUAGUUGGUGAGGUAACGGCUCACCAAGGCAACGAUGCGUAGCCGACCUGAGAGGGUGAUCGGCCACACUGGGACUGAGACACGGCCCAGACUCCUACGGGAGGCAGCAGUAGGGAAUCUUCCGCAAUGGACGAAAGUCUGACGGAGCAACGCCGCGUGAGUGAUGAAGGCUUUCGGGUCGUAAAACUCUGUUGUUAGGGAAGAACAAGUGCUAGUUGAAUAAGCUGGCACCUUGACGGUACCUAACCAGAAAGCCACGGCUAACUACGUGCCAGCAGCCGCGGUAAUACGUAGGUGGCAAGCAUUAUCCGGAAUUAUUGGGCGUAAAGCGCGCGCAGGUGGUUUCUUAAGUCUGAUGUGAAAGCCCACGGCUCAACCGUGGAGGGUCAUUCAAAACUGGCUGGGAGACUUGAGUGCAGAAGAGGAAAGUGGAAUUCCAUGUGUAGCGGUGAAAUGCGUAGAGAUAUGGAGGAACACCAGUGGCGAAGGCGACUUUCUGGUCUGUAACUGACACUGAGGCGCGAAAGCGUGGGGAGCAAACAGGAUUAGAUACCCUGGUAGUCCACGCCGUAAACGAUGAGUGCUAAGUGUUAGAGGGUUUCCGCCCUUUAGUGCUGAAGUUAACGCAUUAAGCACUCCGCCUGGGGAGUACGGCCGCAAGGCUGAAACUCAAAGGAAUUGACGGGGGCCCGCACAAGCGGUGGAGCAUGUGGUUUAAUUUGAAGCAACGCGAAGAACCUUACCAGGUCUUGACAUCCUCUGAAAACCCUAGAGAUAGGGCUUCUCCUUCGGGAGCAGAGUGACAGGUGGUGCAUGGUUGUCGUCAGCUCGUGUCGUAGAUGUUGGGUUAAGUCCCGCAACGAGCGCAACCCUUGUCUUAGUUGCCAUCAUUAAGUUGGGCACUCUAAGGUGACUGCCGGUGACAAACCGGAGGAAGGUGGGGAUGACGUCAAAUCAUCAUGCCCCUUAUGACCUGGGCUACACACGUGCUACAAUGGACGGUACAAAGAGCUGCAAG
rnacentral:rRNA from 1 species